GGGUUUUAGAAUUGUUCUUUCUCGUACCUAUACAGAUAAUAUCUACAAUAACAGCGAUAUUGGGUCUCCGUAUCCCUACAGUGAAUUAUCGAUUUAAAAAUAUCAGUAAAACUCUGUCAGUUCUGACUGAGGUAUGUUGAUAUUUAAAAAUCUAUGUAUUAUAACUAAUUUGUCUGUUUUGUCAUGAUACAACCAAUUUCUCAGUUUAGUCCAUAUAAAACCAAAAGUGGAAAAAAUACGCUUUAAUGAAAUAAAACCAAGUGAAACACGUAAUGAAUUUAAAAAAAGCAACACAACACAAAAUUACAAUUUCGGGGGAUGAAUAUGAAUAUUUCAUAAUUAUGUAAUUUGCUGCUCGGCGCAAAUGCAUGGU